GAUGAACGCUGGCGGCGUGCCUAAUACAUGCAAGUCGAGCGAACGGACGAGAAGCUUGCUUCUCUGAUGUUAGCGGCGGACGGGUGAGUAACACGUGGAUAACCUACCUAUAAGACUGGGAUAACUUCGGGAAACCGGAGCUAAUACCGGAUGAUAUUUUGAACCGCAUUGUUCAAAAGUGAAAGACGGUCCUGCUGUCACUUAUAGAUGGAUCCGCGCUGCAUUAGCUAGUUGGUAAGGUAACGGCUUACCAAGGCAACGAUGCAUAGCCGACCUGAGAGGGUGGUCGGACACACUGGAAGUGAGACACGGUCCAGACUCCUACGGGAGGCAGCAGUAGGGAAUCUUACGCAAUGGGCGAAAGCCUGACGGAGCAACGCCGCGUGAGUGAUGAAGGUCUUCGGAUCGUAAAACUCUGUUAUUAGGGAAGAACAUAUGUGUAAGUAACUGUGCACAUCUUGACGGUACCUAAUCAGAAAGCCACGGCUAACUACGUG
rnacentral:rRNA from 1 species